rnacentral:rRNA from 1 species
GACGAACGCUGGCGGCGUGCUUAACACAUGCAAGUCGAACGGAAAGGCCCUGCUUUUGUGGGGUGCUCGAGUGGCGAACGGGUGCGUAACACGUGAGUAACCUGCCCUUGACUUUGGGAUAACUUCAGGAAACUGGGGCUAAUACCGGAUAGGAGCUCCUGCUGCAUGGUGGGGGUUGGAAAGUUUCGGCGGUUGGGGAUGGACUCGCGGCUUAUCAGCUUGUUGGUGGGGUAGUGGCUUACCAAGGCUUUGACGGGUAGCCGGCCUGAGAGGGUGACCGGCCACAUUGGGACUGAGAUACGGCCCAGACUCCUACGGGAGGCAGCAGUGGGGAAUAUUGCACAAUGGGCGGAAGCCUGAUGCAGCAACGCCGCGUGCGGGAUGACGUCCUUCGGGUUGUAAACCGCUUUCGCCUGUGACGAAGCGUGAGUGACGGUAAUGGGUAAAGAAGCACCGGCUAACUACGUG